GUUUGGUUAAGUUAGAAAGGGCGCACGGUGGAUGCCUUGACACUAGGAGUCGAUGAAGGACGGGACUAACGCCGAUAUGCUUCGGGGAGCUGUAAGUAAGCUUUGAUCCGAAGAUUUCCGAAUGGGGAAACCCACUAUACGUAAUGGUAUGGUAUCCUUAUCUGAAUACAUAGGGUAAGGAAGACAGACCCAGGAAACUGAAACAUCUAAGUACCUGGAGGAAGAGAAAGCAAAUGCGAUUUCCUGAGUAGCGGCGAGCGAAACGGAACAUAGCCCAAACCAAGAGGCUUGCCUCUUGGGGUUGUAGGACAUUCUAUACGGAGUUACAAAGGAACGAGGUAGACGAAGCGACCUGGAAAGGUCCGUCGUAGAGGGUAACAACCCCGUAGUCGAAACUUCGUUCUCUCUUGAAUGUAUCCUGAGUACGGCGGAACACGUGAAAUUCCGUCGGAAUCUGGGAGGACCAUCUCCCAAGGCUAAAUACUCCCU
rnacentral:rRNA from 1 species